UGAGUGGCGGACGGGGGAGUAACGCGUGGGUAACCGUGCCUCACACAGGGGGAUAACAGUUGGAAACGGCUGCUAAUACCGCAUAAGCGCACAGUACCGCAUGGUACGGUGUAGAAAACUCCGGUGGUAUGAGAUCGGACCCGCGUCUGAUUAGGUAGUUGGUGGGGUAACGGCCUACCAAGCCGACGAUCAGUAGCCGACCUGAGAGGGUGACCGGCCACAUUGGGACUGAGACACGGCCCAA
rnacentral:rRNA from 1 species